rnacentral:tRNA from 1 species
GAAGGGUGGCCGAGUGGUUUAAGGCGUCAGUCUUGAAAACUGAUAUAGGGGCAACUCUAUCGAGGGUUCGAAUCCCUCCCCUUCC